CGUCGACGCUCGGAACCUGGGGGAUUCCCCUUACGACUUGGCCAUUAAAAAUAAGUGAAACAAACAGGUUAGUUAGUUGUUAGAUUUCUUUCUGGCCUAUAAGGGUAAGGCCUGGUAUGGACGGGUAGUGAAGAAAGUAUUGCCUGGAAGAAUACUGCAUGAUGAACCAAGAGGAAAAAUUAAAGAAAAGAAAAUCUUUAUUUUAUCGAUACUGAUCAUGGCAAAAUUGAUAAAGGUCAAAAUUAUAUUGGCGGUAGUUUUCUUUGUACUACUAUCAAUCAAAACCGUUAUUUUGGUAGCUGCAGUCACAUUCCCGACGAUCCUCAACAAUAUUAAGCACUCUUGCCAACAUCACCAGCAAAAAACAAUAAUAGAAGAAGUUAAACCUAGCAAUUCCUGGUUUGGGUGGAGAGAGGACCAGGUGGACAGAAAUUACUACACAUAAAUAUUUGAAAAUAUAUUUUAAUAAUGAUAAAUAUAAAAUAAUCGUAAAUGUCAUGUGAAAUAAUUUUAUCGUUAAUAUAAA